rnacentral:rRNA from 1 species
AUUGAACGCUGGCGGCAGGCCUAACACAUGCAAGUCGAGCGGAUGAAGGGAGCUUGCUCCUGGAUUCAGCGGCGGACGGGUGAGUAAUGCCUAGGAAUCUGCCUGGUAGUGGGGGAUAACGUCCGGAAACGGGCGCUAAUACCGCAUACGUCCUGAGGGAGAAAGUGGGGGAUCUUCGGACCUCACGCUAUCAGAUGAGCCUAGGUCGGAUUAGCUAGUUGGUGGGGUAAAGGCCUACCAAGGCGACGAUCCGUAACUGGUCUGAGAGGAUGAUCAGUCACACGGAAAAGGAGACGGGGCCCGGCCCCCACGGGGGGGCAGGAGGGGGGAAUUUGGGAAAGGGGGCAAAGGUGUGACCCGGCAAGGCGGGGGGGGUGAAGAGGGUUGUCGGUUUGAAAGGCUUUUAAGGUGGGGGGAAGGGGAAGAAAUUUAAUACCUGGUUUUUUGGGCGGCCCAAAAAAAAAAAGCCCGGUCUAAUUUGG